GAGUUUGAUCCUGGCUCAGGAUGAACGCUGGCGGCGUGCUUAACACAUGCAAGUCGAACGAACCUUCGGGUUAGUGGCGGACGGGUGAGUAACGCGUGGGAAUCUGCCCUCAGGAGGGGGAUAACGGCUGGAAACGGCCGCUAAUACCCCAUAUGCCGAGAGGUGAAAUGAAUUUCGCCUGAGGAUGAGCCCGCGUCUGAUUAGCUAGUUGGUGAGGUAAGAGCUCACCAAGGCAUCGAUCAGUAGCUGGUCUGAGAGGAUGAUCAGCCACACUGGGACUGAGACACGGCCCAGACUCCUACGGGAGGCAGCAGUGGGGAAUUUUCCGCAAUGGGCGAAAGCCUGACGGAGCAACGCCGCGUGAGGGAUGAAGGCCUCUGGGCUGUAAACCUCUUUUCUCAAGGAAGAAGAUCUGACGGUACUUGAGGAAUAAGCCACGGCUAAUUCCGUGCCAGCAGCCGCGGUAAUACGGGAGUGGCAAGCGUUAUCCGGAAUUAUUGGGCGUAAAGCGUCCGCAGGCGGCCCUUCAAGUCUGCUGUUAAAAAGUGGAGCUUAACUCCAUCAUGGCAGUGGAAACUGUUGGGCUUGAGUGUGGUAGGGGCAGAGGGAAUUCCCGGUGUAGCGGUGAAAUGCGUAGAUAUCGGGAAGAACACCAGUGGCGAAGGCGCUCUGCUGGGCCAUAACUGACGCUCAUGGACGAAAGCCAGGGGAGCGAAAGGGAUUAGAUACCCCUGUAGUCCUGGCCGUAAACGAUGAACACUAGGUGUCGGGGGAAUCGACCCCCUCGGUGUCGUAGCCAACGCGUUAAGUGUUCCGCCUGGGGAGUACGCACGCAAGUGUGAAACUCAAAGGAAUUGGCGGGGGCCCGCACAAGCGGUGGAGUAUGUGGUUUAAUUCGAUGCAACGCGAAGAACCUUACCAGGGUUUGACAUCCUGCGAACCUCUUGGAAACGAGAGGGUGCCUUCGGGAACGCAGUGACAGGUGGUGCAUGGCUGUCGUCAGCUCGUGUCGUGAGAUGUUGGGUUAAGUCCCGCAACGAGCGCAACCCACGUCUUUAGUUGCCAGCAUUUAGUUGGGCACUCUAGAGAGACCGCCGGUGAUAAACCGGAGGAAGGUGUGGAUGACGUCAAGUCAUCAUGCCCCUUACAUCCUGGGCUACACACGUACUACAAUGCUACGGACAAAGAGCAGCAAGUUCGCGAGGACAAGCAAAUCUCAUAAACCGUGGCUCAGUUCAGAUCGUAGGCUGCAACUCGCCUACGUGAAGGAGGAAUCGCUAGUAAUCGCAGGUCAGCAUACUGCGGUGAAUACGUUCCCGGGCCUUGUACACACCGCCCGUCACACCAUGGAAGUUGGCCACGCCCGAAGCCGUUACUCCAACCCUCGGGAGGAGGACGUCGAAGGUGGGGCUGAUGACUGGGGUGAAGUCGUAACAAGGUAACCG
rnacentral:rRNA from 1 species